rnacentral:rRNA from 1 species
AAUAUUGGACAAUGGGGGGAACCCUGAUCCAGCCAUGCCGCGCGUGUGAAGAAGGNCUNNGGAUUNUNAAGCACUUUUAGUAGNNNNNAAGAGUUGUAGGCUAAUACCUUGCAAUUUUGACGUUACCAACAGUAUAAGCACCGGCUAACUUCGUGCCAGCAGCCGCGGUAAUACGAAGGGUGCAAGCGUUAAUCGGAAUUACUGGGCGUAAAGCGCGCGUAGGUGGUUCGUUAAGUUUGAAGUGAAAGCCCCGGGAUUAACCUGGGAAUUGCUUUCAAAACUGACGAGCUAGAGUACGGUAGAGGGUAGUGGAAUUUCCUGUGUAGCGGUGAAAUGCGUAGAUAUAGGAAGGAACACCAGUGGCGAAGGCGACCACCUGGGCUAAUACUGACACUGAGGUGCGAAAGCGUGGGGAGCAAACAGG